CCCUUAGAUGUUCUGGGCCGCACGCGUGCUACACUGAGUGGAUCAGCGGGUCAGGUUGCGCGAAAGCGUUUCCUAAUCUUUAAAUCCGCUCGUGAUGGGGAUUGACGGUUGCAAUUUUCUGUCAUGAACGAGGAAUACCUUGUAAGCGCGGGUCAUCAUCCCGCGCUGAAUACGUCCCUGCCCUUUGUACACACCGCCCGUCGCUCCUACCGAUUGAGUGGUCCGGUGAGGCUUUGGGAUCUUAGCGGAAAGAGCGUUUCGCUGUUUCUGCUCGGAAAACUCAGUCGAACCUUAUCAUUUAGAGGAAGGAGAAGUCGUAACA
rnacentral:rRNA from 1 species